rnacentral:rRNA from 1 species
GAGACCCACGCCCACAGUUGCCAGCGUUCCCUCCGGGGAGACGGGUACUCUGUGGGGACCGCCGCUGCUAAAGCGGGGGAAGGAAUGGGCAACGGUAGGUCAGUAUGCCCCGAAUUACCCGGGCUACACGCGGGCUACAAUGGACAGGACAAUGGGAAUCGACACCGAGAGGUGAAGGCAAUCCCCUAAACCUGCCCCUAGUUCGGAUUGUGGGCUGCAACUCGCCCACAUGAAGCUGGAAUCCGUAGUAAUCGCGGAUCAACAUUCCGCGGUGAAUAU